AACAAGAAAUCAAAGAUAUAAGUGACUGUUAGUUGGAGAACUAGAAGUAAACAUGGUGCAAACAGUUCUUCGCGAGGGUAUACCCAGCAAUUGAGAGAGAGGAAGAAGAAGAACAGUAAAAACCUUAGAGGAAACAUUUUUUUUUUUUCUUUCGGUGAAAGGAAAUGAGAAAUGAUUAGAGAGUCGUGCUGAUAACGUGUUAUAAAUAGGCAAAAUUUAUAGAGAGAUAACCUUUACUCGGUGAAGGAACGAAGCAGUUGCAGAGUAAUAUACCGACACAAGCUGUUGCAGAGGAAGUAAUGUAUAUUAUUGCUAUUAGAUAUAUUUCUCUUUUCUUUCUUCUUCUCAUUCACUAAUCU
rnacentral:lncRNA from 1 species